rnacentral:rRNA from 1 species
UACGUAGGGACCGAGCGUUGUCCGGAUUCAUUGGGCGUAAAGAGCUCGUAGGCGGCUGCUCAAGUCGAAUGUGAAAACUCGAGGCUCAACCUCGAGCCUGCAUUCGAUACUGGGCGGCUAGAGUCUGGUAGGGGGAUCUGGAAUUCCUGGUGUAGCGGUGGAAUGCGCAGAUAUCAGGAGGAACACCGGUGGCGAAGGCGGGAUCCUGGGCCAGUACUGACGCUGAGGAGCGAAAGCAUGGGGAGCAAACAGG